rnacentral:rRNA from 1 species
UACCAGCUCUCCGAGUUGUAGGGAUGAUUAUUGGGCUUAAAGCGUCCGUAGCUGGCUUAGCAAGUCUCCUGUUAAAUUCAGCGACCUAAUCGUUGAGCCGCGGGAGAUACUACUAGGCUAGGAGGCGGGAGAGGUCGACGGUACUUUCGGGGUAGGGGUGAAAUCCUAUAAUCCCGGGAGGACCACCAGUGGCGAAGGCUGUCGACUAGAACGCGCUCGACGGUGAGGGACUAAAGCUGGGGGAGCGAACCGGAUUAGAUACCCGGGUAGUCCCAGCUGUAAACUAUGCGGGCUAGGUGUUGGGGUGGCUACGGGCCACUUCAGUGCCGCAGGAAAGCCAUUAAGCCCGCCGCCUGGGGAGUACGGCCGCAAGGCUGAAACUUAAAGGAAUUGGCGGGGGAGCACCACAAGGCGUGAAGCUUGCGGUUC